AUACCCGCUCCGCGAGUGGUGGGGACUUUUACUGGGCUUAAAGCGCCCGUCGCCGGCUGGGUGUGUCCUCCGUUAAAUCCACAGGCCUAACCUGUGGGCUGCGGGGGAUACUACCCGGCUUGGGGGUGGGAGAGGGCGGCGGUAUUCCCGGGGUAGGGGUAAAAUCCACUGAUCCCGAGAGGACCACCAGUGGCGAAGGCGGCCGCCUAGAACACGCCCGACGGUGAGGGGCGAAAGCUGGGGGAGCAAACGGGAUUAGAUACCCUAGUAGUCC
rnacentral:rRNA from 1 species